UACAGAGGUCCCAAGCGUUGUUCGGAUUCAUUGGGCGUAAAGGGUGCGUAGGUGGCGCGCUAAGUCAGGUGUGAAAUUUCGGAGCUUAACUCCGAAACUGCAUUUGAUACUGGCGUGCUUGAGGACUGGAGAGGAGACUGGAAUUUACGGUGUAGCAGUGAAAUGCGUAGAUAUCAAGUGGAACACCAGUGGCGAAGGCGAGUCUCUGGACAUUUCCUGACGCUGAGGCACGAAAGCCAGGGGAGCAAACGGG
rnacentral:rRNA from 1 species